rnacentral:lncRNA from 1 species
CCGCCAUUUAAAGAUACUGCAAUCUUGAAUUUUCAAUUGUAUAUAGGACCUGGACUUUCAACCUCCAAUCAAUAGGAGUCUUCCCAAGGGACAUAAUCAAACCAUGUUUCAUUAUUAAUGGAUGUAUGGUUUAAAAGAUAUCAAAAUCCUUUGGUUCUUUUUUCAUUCCUAGGAGCAUUUACACACAGGCAUUGGUAAUUAUUCUUAUGUA